UACGAAGGGGGCUAGCGUUGCUCGGAAUCACUGGGCGUAAAGCGCACGUAGGCGGAUUGCUAAGUCAGGGGUGAAAUCCUGGAGCUCAACUCCAGAACUGCCUUUGAUACUGAGGAGCUCGAGUCCGGGAGAGGUGAGUGGAACUCCGAGUGUAGAGGUGAAAUUCGUAGAUAUUCGGAAGAACACCAGUGGCGAAGGCGGCUCACUGGCCCGGUACUGACGCUGAGGUGCGAAAGCGUGGGGAGCAAACAGG
rnacentral:rRNA from 1 species